rnacentral:rRNA from 1 species
UACGAAGGGGGCUAGCGUUGUUCGGAAUCACUGGGCGUAAAGCGCACGUAGGCGGAUUGUUAAGUCGGUGGUGAAAUCCUGGAGCUCAACUCCAGAACUGCCUUCGAUACUGAGAGUCUUGAGUUCGGGAGAGGUGAGUGGAACUGCGAGUGUAGAGGUGAAAUUCGUAGAUAUUCGCAAGAACACCAGUGGCGAAGGCGGCUCACUGGCCCGAUACUGACGCUGAGGUGCGAAAGCGUGGGGAGCAAACAGG